AAUGGGCGAAAGCCUGAUGCAGCAACGCCGCGUGAGCGAUGAAGGCCUUCGGGUCGUAAAGCUCUGUCCUCAAGGAAGAUAAUGACGGUACUUGAGGAGGAAGCCCCGGCUAACUACGUGCCAGCAGCCGCGGUAAUACGUAGGGGGCUAGCGUUAUCCGGAAUUACUGGGCGUAAAGGGUGCGUAGGUGGUUUUUUAAGUCAGAAGUGGAAGGCUACGGCUCAACCGUAGUAAGCUUUUGAAACUGAGAAACUUGAGUGCAGGAGAGGAGAGUAGAAUUCCUAGUGUAGCGGUGAAAUGCGUAGAUAUUAGGAGGAAUACCAGUUGCGAAGGCGGCUCUCUGGACUGUAACUGACACUGAGGCACGAAAGCGUGGGGAGCAAACAGGAUUAGAUACCCUGGUAGUCCACGCCGUAAACGAUGAGUACUAGGUGUCGGGGGUUACCCCCCUCGGUGCCGCAGCUAACGCAUUAAGUACUCCGCCUGGGAAGUACGCUCGCAAGAGUG
rnacentral:rRNA from 1 species